AUAGGUGGGAGGCUUGGAAGCGGUGACGCCAGUUGCCGUGGAGCCAUCCUUGAAAUACCACCCUUGUAUGUUUGAUGUUCUAACUUGGCCCCCAUAAUCUGGGGUGAGGACAGUGUCUGGUGGGUAGUUUGACUGGGGCGGUCUCCUCCCAAAGCGUAACGGAGGAGCACGAAGGUGGGCUAAUCACGGUCGGACAUCGUGAGGUUAGUGCAAUGGCAAAAGCCCGCUUGACUGCGAGAAUGACGGUUCGAGCAGGUGCGAAAGCAGGUCAUAGUGAUCCGGUGGUUCUGAAUGGAAGGGCCAUCGCUCAACGGAUAAAAGGUACUCCGGGGAUAACAGGCUGAUACCGCCCAAGAGUUCAUAUCGACGGCGGUGUUUGGCACCUCGAUGUCGGCUCAUCACAUCCUGGGGCUGAAGUCGGUCCCAAGGGUAUGGCUGUUCGCCAUUUAAAGUGGUACGCGAGCUGGGUUUAGAACGUCGUGAGACAGUUCGGUCCCUAUCUGCCGUGGGCGUUGGAGAAUUGAGAGGGGCUGCUCCUAGUACGAGAGGACCGGAGUGGACGAACCUCUGGUGUUCGGGUUGUCACGCCAGUGGCAUUGCCCGGUAGCUAAGUUCGGAAUUGAUAACCGCUGAAAGCAUCUAAGCGGGAAGCGAGCCUCGAGAUGAGUUCUCCCUAAGGCUAAAAGCCUUCUAAAGGGUUGUUGGAGACGACGACGUAGAUAGGUCAGGUGUGUAAGUGCUGUGAGGCAUUGAGCUAACUGAUACUAAUUGCCCGUGAGGCUUAACCCU
rnacentral:rRNA from 1 species